UGUCACAAAAACUGGAAACGAAAGAUUGCCUAGGCCAUAUGAAAAUUGUCAAAUGCUACAAGAUGCUACUGGUUAUGUUAUUGCUUGGCCUCGGUCACAUGUAAGUAUUUUCAUUCUGGAACAACUCGGUAUUCACAAAUGUCUGAUUGGGAACACUGUUAUUUAUGAACACAUGUUGUGAUUUACAGGUCAAAAGAGCUAAGAGAACGACUCCAAACCAGCCGACAAACAACUGGGUAUUCUAAUUCGUCAGAAAAUUAAACAUGUCAUUCUACACUCCCAGGAGAGCUUAUAUUUUCAAGGAGUAUUCAUUGUAUCUGCCUACUUUGCAGGAUGGUUGAGGCCAAGAGACAUAUUGGACGAGGGAUAAGCGAAAAAGAUUAAGUUUAUGUUAGAGCAAAGCUUAUAGAUAUACAAUUAUUUAGAACCAAAACAUAUGUGCAAAUAAGAUCUUUUCUCUAUGUAUUGCAACUUAUCUACACGGAUGUUUAAUUCAGCUGUGAUUUGUGAACUCCAUUUAUUGUAACAUAUUUGUUGCUGCAGUCAAUUCAAA
rnacentral:lncRNA from 1 species